UGAGAGGGGUGGAGUCUGAGCAAGCAAGGCCAAGGGCUCUGUUGUUGGGCUCACAAGUACCUUGACUAUCGCCCACAGGUGAUGGAGGACGAGGAGAAGGCAGUGGAGAUCUUGGGCAACACGGAAGCUGCUCAUCCUCCAUCCCCCAUCCGCUGCUGCUGGCUCCGCCUCCGCUGCCUGGCAGCUACUAGCAUUAUCUGUGGCUGCUCUUGCCUGGGAGUCAUGGCUCUGGUGUUUGCCAUCAAGGCGGAAGAGCUGCAUAAAGCAGGCCGG
rnacentral:lncRNA from 1 species